CGGUAAUACGGAGGGGGUUAGCGUUGUUCGGAAUUACUGGGCGUAAAGCGCGCGUAGGCGGACAUUUAAGUCAGAGGUGAAAUCCCGGGGCUCAACCCCGGAACGGCCUUUGAUACUGGGUGUCUUGAGUUCGAGAGAGGUGAGUGGAAUUCCGAGUGUAGAGGUGAAAUUCGUAGAUAUUCGGAGGAACACCAGUGGCGAAGGCGGCUCACUGGCUCGAUACUGACGCUGAGGUGCGAAAGUGUGGGGAGCAAACAGGAUUAGAUACCCUGGUAGUCCACACCGUAAACGAUGAAUGCCAGUCGUCGGGUAGCAUGCUAUUCGGUGACACACCUAACGGAUUAAGCAUUCCGCCUGGGGAGUACGGCCGCAAGGUUAAAACUC
rnacentral:rRNA from 1 species